rnacentral:lncRNA from 1 species
CCUUGUGACCCCCUCCGUUGAGUGCCCGGGCAACCAGGUCCCAGCCCAGACCUCACGUCUGACUCCCCCCAGGCCGCAGAUCCAUCGAUUUCGCCGUACUUCACACUCACCCGUAAAAUUCGCCCGCAGCGCGGCCCCGGGAGGCGAGUUCACCGACGGCGAGGUCUCGGACGGUGGCGGAUGGAGCCGAACUGCCACCCGAGGACUCCGCGGGCUGGGCGGGUGCGGAAAGGGAAGGACAGCUGGAUGGCCAUAAAGCCGCCGGAUGGGAUGCUGAAGUGAGGCGGCGGCCAACGGGGUGGCCAGCAGGAACCGGUCAAAAGAAACGCGGGUGAUGUAAGCCGCCAGGCCUAGUGGCUAGAGCCCCGGCCUGGGAUUCAGACGGACUUGGAAGCUAUUCCCGGCUCCGCCACCUGUCUGCCCGGUGACCUGGAGCAAGUCACUUCCCUCCUCUGGGCCUCAGUCCCCUCAUCUGUAAAAUGGGGAUCAAGACUGUGGGACAGGGACUGUAUCCAACUUGAUUACCUUGUAUCUACCGCAGCGCUUAGAGCAGUGCGGAGUAAGCACUCAGCAAACACCAUCAUCAACAGCGCUUGACGCACAGUGAGCGCUUAACAAAUACCAUUAAAAAAAAAAAAUGGCAGGUCCUCAGACGGCCGAGAAACGACAGAGGGAGUCUUACGUCCUAGACUUCCAGCAGUCGGAAAUGGGGCGGUAAUCACAGUAGCAGGUCAGACAGAAACGAGAGCAAUGUCUUUCCCAAACAGGAGGUCAGCCUUGGCCUUUACCUGUUCUCCACUCCCGCUCUGCCAGCCCCGGACGCCGAGAUGAAAACGCUACCGUCCGUUGAAGUUCAAACAAACGGGACGGCGGUGGAACUGGGGGAAGGAGCGAGGGGGAAUCUCUUCAGUUUUAGAUGCUCAUCGAGACUUAUCCUUUCCUGGAUUGGUGAACUAGUUGCCGAGGAAUCCGUCGUUCCCGGGCCAGAGCUCUGAAAGUCGCUACUGAGGCAGCCCAGUCCGGACGGCGAAAAUGGAGGUAGGCCGAACGGGCGGAAAAAAACGUAUCCCGGCGAAAUGAAGGGAUUUCCGACGAUCUGGCCGCACACGACUCAGUCGUCAGUGAGAAAUCGACGAGGUGAAAAUGGUCCGCUGGGGAAAUUAAUGGAGAGAAAAUAGGCGAGUCCCCCCCCAGAAUGUAUUACCUCCGGAAUAAAUUUCUCACCCCAACGCGCGUUGCAUUUUGCAACCACCCGACCUCUCUCAACCCUUCAGCCGCCUGUCUGAUCACAGACUCCCACAGAAGAACGCACCCACUUCUCUAGGUCUCCCACAGUGAGUUUGCCUGCCGUAGCCUUAUCGAUUAAUCGGUGGUAAAUGUAUGAGCACUUAUUUCCUCCGCAAUCCGCCAUUCCAGCGGAAGGGCGAGGACCGCACCUCACUUUACCCCAGACCCCCCACGUGAAUACUAGAUUACUUGGUCGUUAC